ACCAGCCCAGCAGGGUGGGGCGGGCAGCUUUGCAGGUUGCAGGAUGUGAAAGUGGGGACUGAGGUUAGGAAAAAGAAUCAAAGGCUGGGACCAGAACACACCCAGCAGAGGGCCAUGUGCAGUUCUCCUCUUUAGGGUUUCCUGUGGGUACACUGAGAACAUUGUGUUCUGGCUGUGAAUUCACCCGGCUGAGCAGGCUCCAGACUCAGCUCCUGGGUCCUAGCGCUGCCUCUCGCCCACGCUCGGCUUCAGCUGCCUGAGGGCCACCGCAGGGCCCCUGGGAGGCCAUCUCCACCGUGUCCUCCCUCCUGGGUGAGCACUUCCAUUCUGAUUCAUUCUUCGCCCCACAGCCUCUCGUGUCCCUCAUGACAACACAUCUUCAAAGGACAAAACUGAGGCUCCCCAGGAAACUGGCUGGAACAACUGUGGUCAAUAUUCAAGGCUUUUGGAUCCAGGGACACUUUGGGGAUAUUUGAUUCGGAGACAUCAUCACUUCAAACCCUUGAACUGAAUGCAGCCACCAGACUGAAUGGGGAAAACGAGCGCUAGAUCUUGCUUCGUUCGAGCGCUCCAUCAUCCCGGAGGAGGCGUAAGAGGACCGCGUGGAGUGGAGAGGCAGUGAGAGGAAGAUAAAGGGCUCAGGGCUGGCCAGCUCUGGAGUUGGUGCUUCAGGAUCAGGAUCCUGUUCUCUGGGGAAAGAACUUGGUGAAACUUCUGCAGGCCUAUUGAUGUCCUUCUUUCCAGGAUCAGAGACUCUUAAAACUUCCCAGGAGAGUGAGGCAACACGCCUCAUUGUGCAGCACUCAGCAAAUGCAGCAGCUGCACCAAGUGCUAAAGAAAAGCUCCCAUAAUAACCAUGUGUGAUAAUAAAAAGAUAAAGAGGCAAAUAGGUAUGUAGGUCAGCUCAAAAAUAGCCACCCACCCGUUUGGCCUGGGUAGCCAUUUGUGCCAGGUGGGUACAAAUGGUUUUCUUUCUUCUCCUCCCCAGCUGAUCAUUCACUGCUCUUUUCAAGGUUGCCGUCAAUAAAAGUCCCUUCCAGUGCGAGCUGGAGGUGGCCUGGGCGGCUCUGGCCUGCGGCCUUACAGGGGCAGGCACUGCUCCCAGCACUCCCUCCACCAAACAAAUCCUGGGGUCAGAGGGCACAAGGGCUUGGCCUCUCUGACGCGGGUUCUUGGGGCUAAGUCAGGGUCUGGGGUGAUGACUCACAGACACUCCCCCCUCCCGCCCCCUUAGGGUUUUUCGUGCACCCAGGAGGCCUCCCCUACCCCAACAGAGAACGCUUUGUUAGCAGACCCGGUUGGAGGAGAGUUACAGCCUCAGGGUUGUGAGGGCCUCCACAGCCUCUCC
rnacentral:lncRNA from 1 species